rnacentral:misc_RNA from 1 species
GGCAGCGGCGCCUCGCCGUGGGCGGGCGCGGCGACGGCGCUGAGGAUCCAGGCGGCGAAGCAGCUGACGGGGCGUGUGGUGACGACGAAGGCGGACAAGACGGUGGGGGUGGAGGUGGUGCGGCUGGCUCCUCACCCAAAGUACAAGCGGCGGGAGCGCAUCAAGAAGAAGUACCAGGCGCACGACCCGGACAACCAGUUCAAGGUCGGCGACGUCGUCGAGCUCCGCCGCUCCCGCCCCAUCUCCAAGACCAAGCACUUCCUCGCCGUCCCCCUCCCCCCGCGCGACACCCGCCGCAAGUCCCAGCUCCUCCCGCCUCUCCAGUCCCAGUCCCAGUCCCAAGACCAGGACCAGCCACCCACGCCUCCUCCUUCCUCCGAUUGAUGGAUUUUUCUUCUCCCGUAAUCGUAAAUUCGUAAUGUAAUAAUCUGUGCUGUACUAUGUACUCCAUUGAUUUUUAUUUGCUCUGGAUUUCGAAC